CGAAGCGAAAGCGGAGCGACCCUUCGGGGAGCAAUCACAGGUGCUGCAUGGCUGUCGUCAGCUCGUGUCGUGAGAUGUUCGGUUAAGUCCGCUAACGAGCGCAACCCUCGCCGCGUGUUACAAGUGUCACGCGGGACUGCCAGUCUUAAGCUGGAGGAAGGUGGGGAUGACGUCAAGUCAGCAUGGCCUUUAUGUCCUGGGCUACACACACGCUACAAUGGCCGGUACAAUGGGUCGCGAAGUCGCGAGGCGAAGCCAAUCCACAAGGCCGGUCUCAGUUCAGAUUGCAGGCUGCAACCCGCCUGCAUGAAGACGGAGUUGCUAGUAACCGCAGGUCAGCUAUACUGCGGUGAAUACGUUCCCGGGCCUUGUACACACCGCCCGUCACGUCAUGGGAGCUGGUAACACCUGAAGCCGGUAUUCUAACCGCAAGGAGGGAGCCGUCGAGGGUGGGGCUGGUGACUGGGACGAAGUCGUAACAAGGUAGGUGUACCGGAAGG
rnacentral:rRNA from 1 species